rnacentral:rRNA from 1 species
AUCUAUGGCCAUACCUCCCUGAAUGCGCCCCCUCUCAUCUGAUUUUGGAAGCCAAGAAGGGUCAGGCCUGGUUAGUACUUGAAAAAAGAGACAGUUCUUGAGCAGCAACACUGGGGAUGUUUGUC